CGAACGCUGGCGGCGUGCUUAACACAUGCAAGUCGAACGGAAAGGCCCUGCUUUUGUGGGGUGCUCGAGUGGCGAACGGGUGAGUAACACGUGAGUAACCUGCCCUUGACUUUGGGAUAACUUCAGGAAACUGGGGCUAAUACCGGAUAGGAGCUCCUGCUGCACGGUGGGGGUUGGAAAGUUUCGGCGGUUGGGGAUGGACUCGCGGCUUAUCAGCUUGUUGGUGGGGUAGUGGCUUACCAAGGCUUUGACGGGUAGCCGGCCUGAGAGGGUGACCGGCCACAUUGGGACUGAGAUACGGCCCAGACUCCUACGGGAGGCAGCAGUGGGGAAUAUUGCACAAUGGGCGGAAGCCUGAUGCAGCAACGCCGCGUGCGGGAUGACGGCCUUCGGGUUGUAAACCGCUUUCGCCUGUGACGAAGCGUGAGUGACGGUAAUGGGUAAAGAAGCACCGGCUAACUACGUG
rnacentral:rRNA from 1 species